UAACUUUCAACAACGGAUCUCUUGGCUCUCGCAUCGAUGAAGAACGCAGCGAAAUGCGAUAAGUAAUGUGAAUUGCAGAAUUCAGUGAAUCAUCGAAUCUUUGAACGCACCUUGCGCUCUCUGGUAUUCCGGAGAGCAUGCCUGUUUGAGUGUCAU
rnacentral:rRNA from 1 species